ACAGCGCUCCGCGCCGCGCCGCCGCCGCCGCCACCGCCACCGCGCAGGCCCCGCGCCCGCCGCCAGCGCCCGCCGCCAGGCGCCCUUUGCCCCGGGGCCCCGCGCUCCGCACCGCCCCUGCGCAGAGCCGCGGCGCGGCCGGGCUUAUCUGCUGCCUUCGGAAAUCACCCGACCCCUCGCACCCCUCCCUGCACCCCUUUUCCCCCCGGUGAAAUUUUAUCAGCUUCUGGCUCAGCAGAGAAGCAUUUCAGGCCCCGUAUUUAUUUAAAUAUAUUUAAGGCAGCAAAAGCAUAAUGGCCGAAAUCCAAGAAUGCAGGGAGUUUAUCGCUUAAGCAGUGUGAUUAACGGCGGGCACUUAAAAACGCUUACAUAUCUAUUAUAUUCAAGAAUAUACUUGCUCAGAUAAACCCGCCAACAACAUGUCACAACAUCAUUUAACAAACACGCUUUUCAGUUGCUCGUGGUCGUUAGGCGCUGCUCCAGCCAGAAGCUCGAAGGACUCAUCUUCGCCACCCUGGGACUCCUUCCUGGGGCUCCCAGUAAGCUGGCACUUACAGGAUUAAAAGGAAGGACAGCAGCGAGAGCACGGUGCGGCCGGUAACACAGGCCAACGCACAGGAGAGCAAACCUCGCACAAGCAGCUUUCCUCAGCAUCUCCCAAAGUCACCCAGCGCAAGCGGCCUCCCCGCUCUCUCUCCCGGCUGGCAGUCACCAGCUACUCAGAUUGGACCUGCCUAGUUUGCCCUUUACUUGUAGUUUCUAAUAAGGGCGAAUGUAUUUUCACAAAGCUUAAUUUCUUACAGAAUCCCACCACAAGCUCUCAGCUAACCGGAGGCACCACCUCCGAUCUAGCAAGGAUGGUAACUGGGGGCAGCAAGCCACGUUUGCUGGAUUCACCAGAAAACGUCCCCAGGGCACCUGCGGUGGCAAACCGGCAGCAGCCUCGGAGCACAAGAUCGUACCGCAGAGGCUGGCUGCAGCGACGGAUCGCUCUGCGCCGCUCCCGCAGCAAGCGCACCGGCGCUCCCGGGCCGCUGGCCCCAGCGCUGAACGGCCUUCCCGCAAGAGGCAGCCCCACGCACGGCACGGUUUCAGGCAGCUGCAGGGGAGAGAUUUGGGGUCUUAUUUUGCAAAAAAUGUUUGUGGUAGUUAUGCUUUUAUCCACAUACGCACUUCUGGAAAUCAAAUGGACUGUAGUAAGCACUAACGCCAUGCAGACAUGUUUAUCAUCAAUUAAAAAAGGAUCGAAGGGAACUUCAUGGCAGUGACAGCAUUACCGGACUGCCUGAAAGAGCUGGGGAAUCCAGGAGGACUGCAGAGUUUUGGGUGGCUUUUUUUUCCUGGGAAAUACAAAGAACUGAGGAAAUAAAACACUGUCUCCACUUUAACUGUCUCCUUACCUAGUGUGGGAAUGCUUUCUAUAAAUGCUAGGCAUAUUAUACUGAAAUGGCUUUCUCACUGCUUAGAAACACAGCCAGCAUUAGAAUAUAUGUAUCUUUGCUGCUGUGACAUAGCAAUUUUACUGAAAACGAUAUUAUGGCAGCAACAUGUGAUUGACAAAUCUUGUCAUCCACCAUCAUGUAGUUAAAACCUUAAUGUCUUCAGGCUGUCAGCAUUCCUUCCUUCUGAAUUUUACAAUGCUUUUGCCUGUCAAUAUUUGGUAAUGGUAGAAUUGUAGCUCCAUUAUUUUUGUUGCCAUGGUGAGUGCACAAAACAAAAAAACAAACCUUUUUCUUAAUGAUAUUUCUGCACGUUACACCUCUAACAAUCUGGCAGCUGGCCUUCAACUACUUAGGACUUCGAAAUUCAAGGGUAACCAGUGCUCUUGAGGAAGAAAACUAUCACAAGAUGAAAACAUGUUUUUAUUUACUGAUUUCUCUUAGUAGGAGUGCAUUACAAGGCAUCAGGCAAGAACAGUGAGCAGUUAAUCUCCGAAGCGGUUCUGACUUCAUUUCUCCCUAUUGUAACAAAAAAACUUUAUGCAAAAAAAUGUGAGCCUGCACAUCUGGACGUCAUCCAAGAAUAUUUUCUUAUUUUAUAAGGCAGCGAAAUCCCUUGAAUACAUGCUCAAUUUUAAUAGACACAGAACUCUAAGAGAAAUUGAACUGUGGAAAUACUGGAAGCAAACCUCUUCUGCUUAAGUCUCCAGACAUGCUCACUAUCCAUGAAAAGCUACUGUGUGGUGAGCAGAGUCCCAGCAGCAAUUAGCUUCAUUAGGCUGCCACUGUGGUCAGUGCUUUAGAAAGGUAGCGAGAUUUUGGCAGGAAAGCUGAACAGGAAGUUAAAUUCUUUGUUUUUCUGUUUUUCCCUCUGGAGAAAAUCACAUUCUAGAAUAGUUUUUUCCACAUACCUAUUCAGAUGUUAUUCACACAUCUUGCCUGCUGAAAAACAGAGUAAUAGAUAAAGUCCCUGACACACACUAAAAGAACAUUUCACAGAGCAACAGGCACCAACAGUUUAUUUUCCAGUUCUCAGGUUUUUACUAGUGUUCUUAAAAAGCACUUUGAGCCUUUCUCUUCCUGUUUUCAUAAUUCAGUUAUAUAGCAGCUAUAAAGAAGAGUAUCAUUCCGCAAUCUGUUUGUAUAUCAGUUAAUUAAAUUUCCGUAGAAUGCCAGUGCAUUAUUCACCCAGCAUGUACUGUAUCAGUAUCUAUGCUAAAACAUGAUUCUAGUGUUACGAAACUUUCAAUUCACGUACAGAAUGACAAACCUACGUGUUAUUUCAGAAGUUAAUUAUUUCUAUUUCUUGUUGGAUCAUGCUUCUAUAGAUCAGCUUUAGAUCAAGGGCGUUGUUAGACAAAUGACUUCUGUAUUGUGCCAGUAAGAUUGGAUGCACAUGGACAUAGAAAAAUACAGCUUGAACUUUUUAUGUCAUUUGCUUCUAGAGGUGUAUCUACAAAGAGGCAGACUGACCUAGGUUUCAAAUAGACCAGGCAAAAGUCAUGUCCUCUUUGGAAGCUGUAUGGCCAUAUGUAUUCCUGUGGUGUUGUCUUGUGUUCAACCUCAUCUUGAUUAUUAGGAAAUAAAAGCACCAGCUGUCUGCAGACAUCCUAGUCACAGGGUUUUAGAUUUAUCUUAAAUAAGGCCAGGGUGUAGUAGUCACUGAAUAAACCAAAGGAUCUACAGGACUUUUGAAAUCAGUUUCACCCACAUAAGCAGUCCACAGAGAAACACCAAGAAUGGAUUGGUGCAACAGCCUCCAUCUGGACAAGAACAGGAAACAGAGAAUUACUCUCAUUACGGCAACUUGAGAGAAAAGCAAUAUGAAAAAACACCCAAUGCACGAUCACUGGGUAUCUUAAGUGAAUGAUGAUAAGUAAUGACUUAAAUUUUAAAAGAAGUAUAUUGCACAAAUAAAUAUAACAGAAAGAUACUUCAUUCACUAAGAUACGUUUAAAGUCUGCAGCAUCAAUUCGGCAAGUCCCAUUUCCUGAAACACAUGUGCUUAUCUGCCUUCAGUGGGAAUGUGAAGGACUUCCUGCAACAAAAUCUUCAUCGGAAUAAAUAAUUAAGUCAUUAUCAUGAUUUCUUCCUAGAACCAAGUUGUAGUCUCUGUCUCUCUUUUUGGUGAUAUUGGCUUAGUCCCUGAGCCAGAACAUAAACGUUCAAAAAGACAUGGUAUAGCUUUUGCCUGAAUAUUUCAUUGGUAGGAUAAAGCUUGUCAAAGUUAGCAGGAGUGUAGAUAGUUUUCUUUUCUCCAUCUAAAAGAAAUAAAUGCCAGCACUGCCUGCUUUUAGCAAUGUGUUUAAAUAUAUCUGCCAUAAAGCAUUUCUUCCCCACAUCCAUUUUGCUCACAUCCACCUUCAUUUUUGUCACUGCUUGUAUUGCCAAACAGAAACUUAAAAUUGUAGUAACCAUUCAAACUAAUUAUGCAUGGAGUAAAACUCAGUUGCUAUGUGAACACAUCAUUUAUUGUUAAAUUAAAAAGAGGCAUAAUUUUAA